rnacentral:rRNA from 1 species
AUUGAACGCUGGCGGCAUGCCUUACACAUGCAAGUCGAACGGCAGCACGGGAGCAAUCCUGGUGGCGAGUGGCGAACGGGUGAGUAAUAUAUCGGAACGUGCCCAGUCGUGGGGAUAACGUAGCGAAAGCUACGCUAAUACCGCAUACGAUCUAUGGAUGAAAGCGGGGGAUCGCAAGACCUCGCGCGAUUGGAGCGGCCGAUAUCAGAUUAGGUAGUUGGUGAGGUAAAGGCUCACCAAGCCGACGAUCUGUAGCUGGUCUGAGAGGACGACCAGCCACACUGGGACUGAGACACGGCCCAGACUCCUACGGAGGCAGCAGUGGGGAAUUUUGGACAAUGGGCGCAAGCCUGAUCCAGCAAUGCCGCGUGCAGGAAGAAGGCCUUCGGGUUGG